UAUCAACACUACUUAUAAGACUCAUAAUAGUUUGCAAACCUUCAAAGGUUGUGUUGUUAUCAACCAUAAAGUUGUAUAAUUCUUCAAAUAAUGUUCAUGGUGUUGACAAUACUUAUUGUUGUAGAAAUUCUCCACCCAGAAAUCUUUCUAUCAUAGAUUUGUUAUUGUUUACAUAAUUAUAAUUUUGACUACUAUUCUACCUUGUAGUAACAAACUUUUCAUUCAAUAGAAACAUAGUUUACUUUAAAAUAACUUGUAAAGAAUAAUAUAAA